AUCUGUGCCAGCAGGCGCGGUAAUUCAGAAUCCACAAGCGUUAUCCGGAUUUAUUGGGCGUAAAGGGUCCGUAGGCGGCAAGAAUAGUCUUUGGUUAAAUACCCAGAGCUUAACUUUGGGAAUGCCAGAGAUACUUUCUAGCUAGAGGGCGUUAGAGGCUGAUGGAACGGUCGGUGUAGGGGUGAAAUCCGUUGAUAUCGACCGGAACACCGAAAGCGAAGGCAUUCAGCUGGGGCGACCCUGACGCUGAGGGACGAAAGUGUGGGGAUCAAAGCAGAUUAGAUACCUGCGUAGUCCACACUGUAAAUGAUGAACACUAGCUAUUUGAAGUGUCGACCCUUCAAGUGGCGAAGCUAACGCGUUAAGUGUUCCGCCUGGGAAGUACGACGGCAACGUUAAAACUCAAAGGAAUAGACGGGGAUUCACACAAGCGGUGGACCAUGUGGCUCAAUUCGACAACACGCGAGGAACCUUACCAGGGCUUGACAGGCUAAUAAAACCCCGAUGAAAGUCGGGACUACCUUACAAGGAUAUUAGCCCAGGUGCUGCACGGUCGUCGUCAGCAUGUAUCUUGAGACGCACCCUUAAAUGGGGUAACAUGCGCAACCCCUACUCUGUGUUUUAUAUGUCACAGAGAACUGCCUGGGACAACCAGGAGGAAGGCGGGGACGACGCCAGAUCAGCGUGGCCCUUUGAUGCCCUGGGCUGCACACAUGGUACAAUGGGACCGACAAUGCGUCGCUAACGGGUAACCGGGAGCCAAUCGCAACAAACGGUCUCUCAGUUCGGAUUGAGGUCUGAAACCCGACCUCAUGAAGCUGGAAUCGCUAGUAAUCGCAUAUCAGCCACGGUGCGAUGAAUACGUACCUGAAUCUUGUACUCACCGCCCGUCACAUUAGGGAAGCCGGCAGUAGCCGAAGUUCCACUUUCGUGGACCUAAGCUAAGGUCGGUGACAAGAAUGAAGUCGUAACAAGGUAA
rnacentral:rRNA from 1 species